UCAGAACUAAUCGAGCGCUCCCUCUGCCACCGUUCCUGCUUCCAAGCCAAGACGAGGACAUCGUCCCACUGCUACCAGGAGCCCAUCACUAGAUAGUCAUGAAGCUUCUGCUAAUUGAUAUGAAAAGUGUUUUUCCAUAGAGGAGCCCACAAAGAUGGAGUUGUCGGCAUGGAAGAAACUUAUGCCUCGUUUGGGAAUAUGUUAUUUUAGUAACUUUUUGACUUUUUACGAAAAUAGUGCAGAAAACUAGAGAGAGUUACGAAAAUAUGUACAGAAAGUAGAGGGAGUAAUUUGACAAUUUAUAGUGAUUUUUUGACUAAAAUAUAUAGUGCCCAAAUGAAGCCUAGUGUUCCCCAUUAGCAUCUUGCAAUAUUAAAGCAAAACAAUUAUGACAGAAAGCGAUGCAGCCACGCUUGAUUUGAAUUUAUUGUUUUCGCAAGGUUGUUUCAUAGUUUAUGGAAGACAACAACCAAUGAACCAUGAUUUAUGUGGACUAAUCUAAAGUGAUAGACAGAUUUGAUCUGAGGACAAACUAUAGUACCUAUAUAUGAGAUGUUUACCAAGAAGAAAAAGAGAGCUCAAACAUUCAUCACCUGUAAGCAAUCCUAUGGAAAACUUUUUAUCGACAAGAAUAUCAUGCGGAUGUUUGUGGAAUAUUAUAUGUUUAACCAGAAAUGACUGGAAUAAUAUUUAUGCAACAAUACAAAUGUCUGGAUGUUAAGAAGUUCAUUCACUCAUAUCUUGUAUUAAUUUAAUGUAAAUGAAAGCUUGGACUGAUAUAUUUGGAGCUACUAAUCAAUACGGACAUUUAUCGAAA